UACGUAGGGCGCAAGCGUUAUCCGGAAUUAUUGGGCGUAAAGAGCUCGUAGGCGGUCUGUCACGUCGGCUGUGAAAUCCCGAGGCUCAACCUCGGGUCUGCAGUCGAUACGGGCAAACUAGAGUAUUGCAGGGGAGACUGGAAUUCCUGGUGUAGCGGUGAAAUGCGCAGAUAUCAGGAGGAACACCGGUGGCGAAGGCGGGUCUCUGGGCAAUAACUGACGCUGAGGAGCGAAAGCGUGGGGAGCGAACAGG
rnacentral:rRNA from 1 species